CGAAAGGAAAAGGAUGAAAACGUGGAGCAGAAGUUCUCAGAAGUCCAUGUCCCAACCAGAGAGCUCAUCAGCAGGAUUCUCCUCGUCUGGAGGGUAGCUGUCGAAGUAGCUGUGGUCCGUCGGUCCUGUCAGCUGUUCAGCAAGGAAGGAGAAGAAACACAGACUCAGAUUUGGAAUCCAGAAUUAAUGAAGCACCUAAAUCUGUAGCGACGGUGUUUAAGUGGAGAUGGUAAACUUCUGGCCUUCAGUCCCUCCCAGUUGAAGCCAUUAAACCACCUUCAGACACAGAAAAUAAACAUCUCAGUUACCGAGUCGCUCCGAGGGAUUCCGCCUGAAAAACAAGAUUGAAGAG